UACGGAGGGUGCAAGCGUUGCUCGGAAUUAUUGGGCGUAAAGGGUAGGUAGGUGGUCUCGUUUGUCUGGGGUGAAAUCCUUGAGCUUAACUCAAGAAGUGCCUCAGAAACGGCGAGACUAGAGUUCUGGAGAGGGUCGUGGAAUUCCCGGUGUAGCGGUGAAAUGCGUAGAGAUGGGGGAGAACACUCGUGGCGAAGGCGGCCAGCUAGACCAGUUCUGACACUGAGGCGCGACAGCGUGGGGAGCAAACAGG
rnacentral:rRNA from 1 species